CGCCGCGUAGUCCAACGGUACGAUGUCAGCAUUUUCAGCAUUUGAAUCAGCUGGAGAUUGCGGGUUCAAUUCCCGUCGCGGCCA